CCUACGGGUGGCAGCAGUGAGGAAUAUUGGGCAAUGGGGGCAACCCUGACCCAGCCAUGCCGCGUGAGUGAAGAAGGUCUUCGGAUUGUAAAGCUCUUUCGGCCGUGACGAUGAUGACGGUAGCUUCCCAAGAAGCACCGGCUAACUUCGUGCCAGCAGCCGCGGUAAUACGAAGGGUGCGAGCGUUGUUCGGAUUUACUGGGCGUAAAGGGAGUGUAGGCGGGUUAGUAAGAGAGCGGUGAAAUGCCGGGGCUCAACCCCGGAACUGCCAUUAUGACUAUGUAUCUAGAGUAAUGGAGAGGAUAGCGGAAUACCCAGUGUAGAGGUGAAAUUCGUAGAUAUUGGGUAGAACACCGGUGGCGAAGGCGGCUAUCUGGACAGUAACUGACGCUGAGGCUCGAAAGCGUGGGGAGCAAACAGGAUUAGAUACCCCGGUAGUC
rnacentral:rRNA from 1 species